rnacentral:rRNA from 1 species
AACGAACGCUGGCGGCAGGCCUAACACAUGCAAGUCGAGCGCGCCCUUCGGGGUGAGCGGCGGACGGGUGAGUAACGCGUGGGAACGUGCCCUUCUCUGCGGAAUAGCCUCGGGAAACUGAGAGUAAUACCGCAUACGCCCUUUGGGGGAAAGAUUUAUCGGAGAAGGAUCGGCCAGCGUUGGAUUAGGUAGUUGGUGGGGUAAUGGCCCACCAAGCCGACGAUCCAUAGCUGGUUUGAGAGGAUGAUCAGCCACACUGGGACUGAGACACGGCCCAGACUCCUACGGGAGGCAGCAGUGGGUAAUCUUAGACAAUGGGGGCAACCCUGAUCUAGCCAUGCCGCGUGAGUGAUGAAGGCCUUAGGGUUGUAAAGCUCUUUCAGCUGGGAAGAUAAUGACGGUACCAGCAGAAGAAGCCCCGGCUAACUCCGUG